GGUGUUCAGGAAGAACACCAAGGAAUUGUUCUGUCUCCUCCAAAGCUGAGCAUUCAGGAAUCCAAUCAACUCUCAACUUAUGCAAGGUUUACAUUCUGGGGGUAGUGCAUAUCCAGAAUCACAUAGAGUCAAAACACACUCUCCCUGCAUCUCCAAAUGCUCUUCCAAGAUCUGGUUGGUGGCAUGUGAACCUCCCUCCAGCUCUCUAUGACAAUUCAAGGAGAGUUUUCAGGACUUGAGUUGCCAGAUUGAAGCACUUUGCAAGACAACA